GGGCGGUUCUCCGAUCGGUGUAUAUCAAUCUGAAUAAACACCGAGAAAUUCAUAUACAUUUUCGAAACUUCUGUGCAUUUAUAGGUAACAAUGUCGGAAGAUGAGAAGUUGUUGAAAGAGGCAAAGAAAUUGCCAUGGGAUGAGAGGUUAGCGCACAAGAACUGGAAGGUACGAAAUGACGCUAACAUUGACCUUGCCGCCGUCUGCGACUCCAUUACUGAUCCCAAGGACCCGCGCCUACGUGAAUUUGGUCCUUUUUUUAGGAAGGCUGUAGCAGAUUCAAAUGCGCCAGUUCAGGAUAAAGCUCUUGAUGCUUUGAUUUGUUACUUGAAAGCUGCUGAUUCUGAUGCUGGGAGAUAUGCCAAAGAAGUAUGUGAUGCAAUAGUGGCUAAAUGCUUAACGGGAAGGCCGAAGACAGUGGAGAAGGC
rnacentral:misc_RNA from 1 species